CUCCGGUCGUUCCCGGACGCUUGUCACUCGUUUACCCCCUUUGUGGAGCCGGCGCUCAGGCGCUGCUCCCACCCCUUCCCUGGCGGCUAUAGCGGCGUGGUCCCACCUGAUCCCAUCCCGAACUCAGAAGUGAAACGCGCAUGCGCCGAUGGUAGUGUGGCUCAAGCCAUGCAAGAGUAGGUCACCGCCAGGG
rnacentral:rRNA from 1 species